UACGGAGGGGGCUAGCGUUGUUCGGAAUUACUGGGCGUAAAGCGCACGUAGGCGGCUUUGUAAGUUAGAGGUGAAAGCCCAGGGCUUAACCCUGGAAUUGCCUUUAAGACUGCAUCGCUAGAAUCGUGGAGAGGUGAGUGGAAUUCCGAGUGUAGAGGUGAAAUUCGUAGAUAUUCGGAAGAAGCACCAGUGGCGAAGGCGACUCACUGGACACGUAUUGACGCUGAGGUGCGAAAGCGUGGGGAGCAAACAGG
rnacentral:rRNA from 1 species